rnacentral:rRNA from 1 species
AGAGUUUGAUCCUGGCUCAGAUUGAACGCUGGCGGCAGGCUUAACACAUGCAAGUCGAGCGGAGAUGAGGUGCUUGCACCUUAUCUUAGCGGCGGACGGGUGAGUAAUGCUUAGGAAUCUGCCUAUUAGUGGGGGACAACAUUCCGAAAGGAAUGCUAAUACCGCAUACGUCCUACGGGAGAAAGCAGGGGAUCUUCGGACCUUGCGCUAAUAGAUGAGCCUAAGUCGGAUUAGCUAGUUGGUGGGGUAAAGGCCUACCAAGGCGACGAUCUGUAGCGGGUCUGAGAGGAUGAUCCGCCACACUGGGACUGAGACACGGCCCAGACUCCUACGGGAGGCAGCAGUGGGGAAUAUUGGACAAUGGGGGGAACCCUGAUCCAGCCAUGCCGCGUGUGUGAAGAAGGCCUUAUGGUUGUAAAGCACUUUAAGCGAGGAGGAGGCUACUGAGACUAAUACUCUUGGAUAGUGGACGUUACUCGCAGAAUAAGCACCGGCUAACUCUGUGCCAGCAGCCGCGGUAAUACAGAGGGUGCGAGCGUUAAUCGGAUUUACUGGGCGUAAAGCGUGCGUAGGCGGCUUUUUAAGUCGGAUGUGAAAUCCCCGAGCUUAACUUGGGAAUUGCAUUCGAUACUGGGAAGCUAGAGUAUGGGAGAGGAUGGUAGAAUUCCAGGUGUAGCGGUGAAAUGCGUAGAGAUCUGGAGGAAUACCGAUGGCGAAGGCAGCC